UAUGCAGGUACCAAAGUCAUAUAGAACAAACAUUUGAGUGUGCUGUUGUUCAUUGGUGGCACUUAGGACUUCUUCAUCUCUGGCAAGGCACACAACAUUGGGGACAUUGCUCUAACAGAAACCAGCCAGAAUUUCCAGACAUCGAAUUAAAGGUGUCUAGCAGACGAACAAAUUGUCCCAGGACAACAAUUCUUUCAGCAGAUUGUGUCUAGCAGGCGAACAAAUUGUCACAGGACAACGAUUCUUUCAUCAAAUUGUGUCUAGCGGGCGAACAGAAUCUCCUAGGACAACGAUUCUUUCAUCAGAUUGUGUCUAGCAGGCGAACAAAUUGUCACAGGACAACGAUUCUUUCAUCAGAUUGUGUCUAGCGGGCUAACGGAAUGUCCUAGGACAACGAUUCUUUCAUCAAAUUGUGUCUAGCGGGCGAACGGAAUGUCUUAGGACAACGACUCUUCCAUCAGAUUGUGUCUAGCGGGCGAACGGAAUCUCCUAGGACAACGAUUCUUUCAUCAGAUUGUGUCUAGCGGGCGAACGGAAUCUCCUAGGACAACGAUUCUUUCAUCAGAUUGUGUCUAGCGGGCGAACGGAAUGUCCUAGAACAACGAUUCUUCCAUCAGAUUGU